ensembl:snoRNA small nucleolar RNA SNORA35
CUGCACUGUCCAUUUAUACUGGUAUGCCACCUCCAUUGGCUGUCCAAUCAUCCUCAGUGCUAGAAGAACCUUGGUUUGCAGAAGGUCAUGGUCACAUAAUGGCUUAUCCCUUUCGAAGGCCAAGAACAAAU